CUCGCCAUGUGACUGAGAGCUCCGCAGCAUGGAGGUAUAUGUGGAAAUGGUCUUGGUACAGUUCAGUAAGUGUUAAAGGGUUAACUACAGGAAGCACACAGUGACAUGACUUCUAAAGCAGCAACUCCAACUCUGUGUAUUUCUGUAGCCCUUGAAGUGCCACCGCAUUUCAUCUCUGGGAUGGAGGAGGUUUCUCAGGCAGUGCCUAACCUGGACGUUGCCUGGUGUGCAUGCAGCUGCCAGCCCAGCUGGGAUGGGCACUGGAGCAGAAUGAGCAACCUCUCCAGAUGUCUCUCCUGGAGCAAAGCAGGAGCAGCUCCCUGCUGAAAGCUGUGGAAACCCACCCGUUCUGUGCUGAUGGCGAAGCUUCUGGCUUCUUUGAUGUUGGAGAAGGAAGGAAGACGUUGCCUAAAUAACUUAUGCGAAGCCAACAUGAGGAGAAGCAACAGAAGGAGAAAGACGUGUUGGGAGAAAAAGUGCACGUGAGAAAUGGGGGCUGCCUGCGAGGCAUGAGGUGAGCUCCAGCAGGCCUUCUGCCACACAGCAGAAAUUUGGAGGCCUCGGAGGCAUGAAAUGGUCCAUGGAAGACACAGUGAUGAAGUGUAGGAAAUGAGAAGGAGCCAUGUGGUCAUCCAAAGGGGUGAGAAG
ensembl:lncRNA